GCUAUUGAAGCUCCUUCUACAAAUGGAUAA
rnacentral:tRNA from 5 species